UUCAUUCGGUGUCCGAUACCCGCAUCGGAGCCUGACUAAUCCAGAUUCGCACCGGGUAGGGUCCCAUUCGAGGGUAGCUCUCCCAACAGAGUUUUCUCCAUGCCUAUGGUCAAACCUCGACCUCUGAUUAAAGGUGGAGCAAUCUCAUCCGCUGCACUAUAACCCAUGUUAUAGUACUUUUUGUUAAUUUAUUUUAAUUUAUUAAAUAAAUAUAAAUUGGUUCUGUGUAAGCUUUUAUUUUUUUCCACAAUAACAACAAUAUACCCAUUGUAGUUUCACAAUAUGGGGUGUAAGAACGGUCGAGUAUUCUCAGACCUUACCUCUAUCAUUGCGAUAGAGAGGGCGAUUCUAAUAGAUCUUCGACUCAAAAUAAUAAUAUUUCAAAAAGAAAGUAAUGGAAGUAUAAGAAAUAACAGAUAAUGACAAAAACAACAAAUAGUAGAUUACAACGCUACAGGAAGAUAAUAAUAUAAUCAAAUUACAUAAAACAACAGAUAAUACCAAAAAUCAAAGAACAAAAAAUUAUAAUAAAGCAAUACAAUGACUAUGACCUUACCUCUACCAUCGAAAUAGAGAGGUUGAUUCUAAUAGAUCUUCGACUCAAAAUAAUAAUAUUCCAAAAAAGAAGUAAUGAAAGUAUAAGAAAUAACAGAUAAUGACAAAAACAACAAAUAGUAGAUUACAAUGUUACAGAAAGAUAAUACUAUAAUCAAAAUACACAAAACAACAGAUAAUACGUGAAAUCGAAGAACAAAAAACCAUAAUAAAGUAAUUCAAUGACUAUUAUUAUGGACUAUUACAAUCUUUUUCUCAACUUUGUUAAUAAAAAAUGUGUUUAAAGUUUUAUUUUUUAAGAAAAGAUCUUUUUUCAGGUUACAUUAUUAACAAACAAAAAAACUGUUGGAUUAUGGGUAUGGGUCAUCCAUGUGGACCCGACUCGACCCUUUUAUCUUAGUUAGAAAAUAAGAUUAAUAGAUAAUCUUAAUUCAAAAAAAAGGGAACGGUUAUAACUGAUCCCACCCAAAAAGAUCGCUAUAUGAUCUCUUUUCUGUUUUUCUGACAAGGGCAAGAAAUAAAUAUACAGAGAGAAAAACUAAGUCGAAAAAUAAGUAAUUGAAAUUAACAAAAACAUCAAAACAAGAGCAUUUAGUUGGUGAAAUGAUUUUGUUUUCAAGAAAAACGAAGUGGACUUGGGGCAGAUCAUUUCGGAAGCAAAAAUAAUUUCCGCUGUGAAUUUAAGAUACACAACUUAUUAUUGUUUUGCUCCAAAUUUACUACAAUGGCAUCAGAGACAGAAAUGGCUUAACGGGGACAAACUCGAAUCACUCCAAGUAGGAGUUCUGAAUGUCGAGCAAAGAGGCAAGGUAGAAGGGCGCAUCGUUGAAGGGCAUGUUUUCGAGGUCGUGAGAUCAUACGAAAUGGUGUCCCAAGGGCGACACAAAAUUUGUUAUGGAAUGAAAGAGCAAUACAAAGGGAAAGAGAAAAGAAAUUGAAAGAGCUCAAGUCUUUUAAGAUGUCACCUAACAUUAGUGUUGCUAGUUUUAUACAUCUAUUUGAAAUGAAACGUGUAGAACUAGAAAACUAUGUAAAAAUCUCGGAUUGAGAAGAAUUAGCUAUAUUAUCAAAUUCUCUCCGUGAUCCUUGGGGCGAGAGAUUAAUUGAUGUUUACCAUGAGAUUUGGUCUAGCGAGCCUUUUUGGGUGUACAUAAGUCGUCUAGAAUAUUUGUGGAAUGACUUUUAUUUUUAGAUUGACUUGUAACAUGAAGUUAUUUAUUAACUUUAUAUAUAUAUAUAUUUUAAGUUGUUUA